rnacentral:rRNA from 1 species
AGAGUUUGAUCAUGGCUCAGAAUCAACGCUGGCGGCGUGCCUAACACAUGCAAGUCGCGCGCGAAAGGGGGGCAACCCCCAAGUAGAGCGGCGAACGGGUGAGUAACACGUGGGUGAUCUUCCUUCGAGUGGGGAAUAACACCGGGAAACUGGUGCUAAUACCGCAUGACAUCCUUGGUUCAUUCCAGGGAUCAAAGCCGGGGACCGCAAGGCCUGGCGCUUGAAGAUGAGCCCGCGUCCGAUUAGCUAGUUGGCGGGGUAACGGCCCACCAAGGCUUCGAUCGGUAGCCGGCCUGAGAGGGCGGACGGCCACACUGGGACUGAGACACGGCCCAGACUCCUACGGGAGGCAGCAGUGGGGAAUUUUUCGCAAUGGGGGAAACCCUGACGAAGCAACGCCGCGUGGAGGAUGAAGGCCUUCGGGUCGUAAACUCCUGUCGACCGGGAAGAAUGCACCUGACCUAAUACGUCGGCGUGUUGACUGUACCGGUGAGA